UGUUAUGUUAACAUGUGAAGAGUUGAACGAAACUUGGCAACAGUUCAAUUUAUAACUGUUGCUUCUCUUUGUUUGUUGUUAAUAAUUUCUCUGUUAAUUGUAUUGGUUUAAUUAUUUGUUUAAUAUUAGAGGUUUAAUUGUGGUUUCAAACAAGUUAGUGAUUUUAAUGGUCAAUUAUGGAUCACAGCAGUGACGAGGAAUCACCCAAUGUUUCAAAUCCAACUCAUUCGUUUACUAUGGUUGUUGAGAUGUCAAACCUUUUAAAAUGUGAUAUUGAUUUAGAGGAGUUAACUAUUGCUUACCGUUUGAUUGAAAGUAAUGUUAACUCAAAGCUUCUGGCUCAUGCAAUCAAAUCAAUGAAGAACCCUUGAUCUUUCAAGAUUUUUACAAGCAACUCAAACUAUUCUCUUCCUGAUUUUCUUCCUCGAUGCCUUAUAAAAUGCUUAAUGAACUACAAAUGUUUAUUUUCAACAGUUUUCAAUUCUGAAACAUGGUCGAACUACUUAUAAAAUAGCAAUAUACAUGUAUUACGAAUUUAAAACUAACUCAUAUCA